UGGGGUAAGGCCGAGUAGGAGGAGGUAAUGGAAUUUGGAUCCAUGUGGUGGUGGUUCGAGUCCACCUACCCCAG
rnacentral:tRNA from 1 species